rnacentral:rRNA from 1 species
UUCCGGUUGAUCCUGCCGCCGGACACCGCUAUUGGAAUCCGCUUAAGCCAUGCGAGUCGAGAGGGUUUAGACCCUCGGCGCACUGCUCAGUAGCACGCGGACAACCUGUCCUCAAGAAGGGGAUAAUCCCGGGAAACUGGGAAUAAUACCCUAUAGCCGCUCCGUGAUGGAAGGCUAGGGCGGCGAAAGCUUCGGCGCUUGAGGGUGGGUCUGCGGCCUAUCAGGUAGUAGGGGGUGUUACGGACCCCCUAGCCUACGACGGGUACGGGCAUUGGGAGAUGUCGCCCGGAGAUGGGUUCUGAGACACGAACCCAGGUCCUACGGGGCGCAGCAGGCGCGAACACUGUGCAAUGCGCGAAAGCGCGACACGGGGAGCUUGAGUGUCUUGGCAUAGCCAAGACUUUUCUCAUUCCUAAAAAGCAUGAGGAAUAAGUGCUGGGUAAGACGGGUGCCAGCCGCCGCGGUAACACCCGCAGCACAAGUGGUGGUCACUUUUAUUGAGCCUAAAGCGUUCGUAGCCGGUUCUGUAAAUCUUUAGAUAAAGCCUGAAGCUUAACUCCAGAAAGUCUGAAGAGACUGCAAGACUUGAGAUCGGGUGAGGUUAAACGUACUUUCAGGGUAGGGGUAAAAUCCUGUAAUCCCGGAAGGACGACCAGUGGCGAAAGCGUUUAACUAGAACGAAUCUGACGGUAAGGAACGAAGGCUAGGGUAGCAAACCGGAUUAGAUACCCGGGUAGUCCUAGCUGUAAACACUGCCCAUUUGAUGUUGCUUUUCCGUUGAGGGAAGGCAGUGUCGGAGCGAAGGUGUUAAAUGGGCCGCUUGGGAAGUAUGGUCGCAAGACUGAAACUUAAAGGAAUUGGCGGGGGAGCACCGCAACGGGAGGAAUGUGCGGUUUAAUUGGAUUCAACGCCGGAA